rnacentral:SRP_RNA from 1 species
GGUCAGAGGUGGACGGCUCUUACGCCACCCCCGUCAGGUCCGAAAGGAAGCAGCGGUAACGUAAUCUGGGUCAUCUCUGACACUU